rnacentral:rRNA from 1 species
GCCUGUAAGACUGGGAUAACUCCGGGAAACCGGAGCUAAUACCGGAUAGUAUCUUGAACCGNAUGGUUCAAGUUGGAAAGACGGUUUCGGCUGUCACUUACAGAUGGGCCCGCGGCGCAUUAGCUAGUUGGUGAGGUAAUGGCUCACCAAGGCAACGAUGCGUAGCCGACCUGAGAGGGUGAUCGGCCACACUGGGACUGAGACACGGCCCAGACUCCUACGGGAGGCAGCAGUAGGGAAUCUUCCGCAAUGGACGAAAGUCUGACGGAGCAACGCCGCGUGAGUGAUGAAGGUUUUCGGAUCGUAAAACUCUGUUGUUAGGGAAGAACAAGUGCGAGAGUAACUGCUCGCACCUUGACGGUACCUAACCAGAAAGCCACGGCUAACUACGUGCCAGCAGCCGCGGUAAUACGUAGGUGGCAAGCGUUGUCCGGAAUUAUUGGGCGUAAAGCGCGCGCAGGCGGUUUCUUAAGUCUGAUGUGAAAGCCCCCGGCUCAACCGGGGAGGGUCAUUGGAAACUGGGAAACUUGAGUGCAGAAGAGGAGAGUGGAAUUCCACGUGUAGCGGUGAAU